CCUACGGGAGGCUGCAGUGGGGAAUAUUGGACAAUGGGCGAAAGCCUGAUCCAGCCAUGCCGCGUGUGUGAAGAAGGCCUUCGGGUUGUAAAGCACUUUCAGUGGGGAAGAAAGCCUUGGGGCUAAUACCCUCGAGGAAGGACAUCACCCACAGAAGAAGCACCGGCUAACUCCGUGCCAAGCAGCCGCGGUAAUACGGAGGGUGCGAGCGUUAAUCGGAAUUACUGGGCGUAAAGCGCGCGUAGGCGGUCUGAUAAGCCGGUUGUGAAAGCCCCGGGCUCAACCUGGGAACGGCAUCCGGAACUGUCAGGCUAGAGUGCAGGAGAGGAAGGUAGAAUUCCCGGUGUAGCGGUGAAAUGCGUAGAGAUCGGGAGGAAUACCAGUGGCGAAGGCGGCCUUCUGGACUGACACUGACGCUGAGGUGCGAAAGCGUGGGUAGCAAACAGGAUUAGAUACCCCUGUAGUC
rnacentral:rRNA from 1 species